rnacentral:rRNA from 1 species
AUUGAACGCUGGCGGCAGGCCUAACACAUGCAAGUCGAGCGAGCGGCGGACGGGUGAGAAAUGUAUGGAGAUCUGCCCGAUAGAGGGGGAUAACUACUGGAAACGGUAGCUAAUACCGCAUACCAUCAGAUGAACACAUAUGGGCUUGGCUUGUGGGUGGGGUAACGGCUAACCUAGGCGAAGAACCCUAGCUAGUCUGAGAGGAUGAUCAGCCACACGUGGACUGAAACACGGCCCAGACUCCUACGGGAGGCAGCAGUGGGGAAUAUUGGACAAUGGGCGCAAGCCUGAUGCAGCCAUGCCGCGUGUAUGAAGAAGUCCUGCGGGUUGUAAAGUACUUUCAGUCGGAAGGCGUUACCGACAGAGGAAGCACCGGCUAACUCCGUGCCAGCAGCCGCGGUAAUUC